GUGCUUGCUUCGGCAGCACAUAAACUAAAAUUGGAACAAUACAGAGAAGAUUACCAUGGCCUCUGUGCAAAGAUGACACACAAAUUCAUGAAGUGUUCCAUAUUUUU
ensembl:snRNA U6 U6 spliceosomal RNA